GCAUCCCUGCUCCUCCCUGCCCUCCUGCUCCACGCCGCCCUGGCCUUCCCUGUCCAGGAGAACUAUGAAAACAGCACAACAACAACAGAACCUACUGAGGU